rnacentral:rRNA from 1 species
CGUAGGGUCCGAGCGUUAUCCGGUAUUAUUGGGCGUAAAGAGUGCGUAGGCGGUUUUGUAAGACACUGGUUAAAGCUCCGAGCCUAACUCGGAAAUCGCCAGUGUGACUGCAUAACUAGUCGAUAGCAGGGGCAAGCGGAAUUCUCGGUGUAGGAGUGAAAUCCGUUGAGAUCGAGAAGAACACCAAUGGCGAAGGCAGCUUGCUAGGCUAUAUGAGACGCUGAGGCACGAAAGCGUGGGGAGCGAACGGGAUUAGAUACCCCGGUAGUCCACGCCGUAAACGAUGCAGACUAGCUAUCAGAAGUAUCGACCCUUCUUGUAGCGUAGCUAACGCGUUAAGUCUGCCGCCUGGGAAGUACGGUCGCAAGACUA